CCUACGGGAGGCAGCAGUAAGGAAUAUUGCGCAAUGGGCGACAGCCUGACGCAGCGACGCCGCGUGGGGGAUGAAGGUUUUCGGAUUGUAAACCCCUUUCGGGAGGGAAGAUGGGGCAGGUAACUGCUCGGACGGUACCUCCAGAAGCAGCCACGGCCAACUUCGUGCCAGCAGCCGCGGUAAU
rnacentral:rRNA from 1 species